UACGGAGGGGGCUAGCGUUGUUCGGAAUUACUGGGCGUAAAGCGCACGUAGGCGGCUUUGUAAGUUAGAGGUGAAAGCCCGGGGCUCAACUCCGGAAUUGCCUUUAAGACUGCAUCGCUAGAAUUGUGGAGAGGUAAGUGGAAUUCCGAGUGUAGAGGUGAAAUUCGUAGAUAUUCGGAAGAACACCAGUGGCGAAGGCGGCAACCUGGGCCAAUAUUGACGCUGAGGUGCGAAAGCGUGGGGAGCAAACAGG
rnacentral:rRNA from 1 species